GACGAACGCUGGCGGCGUGCUUAACACAUGCAAGUCGAACGAUGAAGCCUAGCUUGCUAGGUGGAUUAGUGGCGAACGGGUGAGUAAUACGUGAGUGACCUACCUUUGACUCUGGGAUAAGCCUGGGAAACUGGGUCUAAUACCGGAUACGACCAAUCUCCGCAUGGGGUGUUGGUGGAAAGCGUAAUGGAGUGGUUUUAGAUGGGCUCACGGCCUAUCAGCUUGUUGGUGAGGUAAUGGCUUACCAAGGCGACGACGGGUAGCCGGCCUGAGAGGGUGACCAGCCACACUGGGACUGAGACACGGCCCAGACUCCUACGGGAGGCAGCAGUGGGGAGUAUUGCACAAUGGGCGCAAGCCUGAUGCAGCGACGCCGCGUGAGGGAUGACGGCCUUCGGGUUGUAAACCUCUGUUAGCAUCGAAGAAGCGAAAGUGACGGUAGGUGCAGAGAAAGCGCCGGCUAACUACGUG
rnacentral:rRNA from 1 species